UACGUAGGUGGCAAGCGUUAUCCGGAAUUAUUGGGCGUAAAGCGCGCGUAGGCGGUAGAAUAAGUCUGAUGUGAAAGCCCCUGGCUCAACUAGGGAGGGUCAUUGGAAACUGUUUUACUUGAGUACAGAAGAGGAGAGUGGAAUUCCAUGUGUAGCGGUGAAAUGCGCAGAGAUAUGGAGGAACACCAGUGGCGAAGGCGGCUCUCUGGUCUGUAACUGACGCUGAGGUGCGAAAGCGUGGGGAUCAAACAGGAUUAGA
rnacentral:rRNA from 1 species